GGAGAACGCUAAUCGAAUUCACUUGAAGAACAUGAUUAAAUCAUGAGAUUGCAUUUAAAACAUACUCUAAAUUAUACUUCAAACUGAUGGAAUCAGUUUAGGUUAACACAAGGAAGCUUUAUGCUUUUGCUUCCAAUGACAAAGCUUGCACAUUUUUGUUCUGCAUAAAUCAUCUCUGAAUUUGGUGAAACAAUUUCAAUUUGCAGGGUUCAAUUAUUACUACUUAUUGUCAUGUAAACGUCAAGCAUGGUUGGCCUUUGCCCUGGAAAGCGCAGUACACAAUUACGCGCUAUUUUCAGACACUGAAAGAUCUCAUGAUCAUGUCCUUGCCCUAUCAGAUGCUUAUCGAUGCAAUCAUAUAGACUUGAAGAGCUAGAACAGAGAUCACUUAACCAUUCAUCCAAGCUUCCAUAAGAGCUGCUCAAAACAGUACCCAUUUUGCCUGUAAUCAACUCAAGAAGCACAAUUCCGAAGUAGAAAACAUCUUCCUUAAGAAAACAUUCCUCCCAAAAUUCAACAUCCAUGAAGAAACCACUGCUUGAAUUGACCUCAUUUGGAUUGAUGAAGGUAGACAUUCCAAAGUUUGAUAACUUGGGUUCAAGAUCCUUGUCAAGUAAAAUACAUUUUGUGCUUAUGUUAAGAUGAGCCACACGGAAACUGCAGCAAUGAUGGAGCCAUGCCAAGCCUUUUGCUAUACCAGCAGCAAUUUUCAUCCUCAAAGGCCAUUUCAGCACUUUCUUCUUGCCUUCCCAUGAAUGUAACCAAUCGAAAAGGCUUCCAUUUGAUACAUAUUUAUACACCAAAAGCCUUGUUUUUGCUUCUUUGCAGAAUCCGAGGAGUGGAAUCAAGUUAUCAUGUCUCAAUCUACCCAAUGUCUUCAAUUCAGAUAUGAACUGCUCUUCAGAUUGUUCAGAAAUAUAUAAUUUCUUUACUGCGAGGGACCAACCAUUAGGAAGGCUUGCCUUGUACAUUGUCCCGAUUUGUCCCACCCCAAUGAUAUUAUGUUUGCUAAAAUUUCCAGUGGCGUUACACAGAUCUAUAGAACUCAUUCUCGUAACAAAGUGCUGUGAGGUAGAAAUCUCUUUCUCGAGCAAAAACUCCAUAGUUGAUAAGCUAGCCAGUUGCUCAAGCUCUGGAUUUUUGUUCUUCCUCCUUAGCAUCAACAUUACCAGCUCUGGUAUUGUGAUCAUCCCAUUCUUCUUUCCCAUAUACACCCAAGGUACACAAUAGGACGCAUAUACAACUAUAGCUGAAAUCAGAGAAACUGUAUAACCAAUUGCAAACCCACCUUUGAAUGAAAAAUCAAAUCUCAAAUUAAAUUUCCUUCGAUUCACUGGGCACCUUCGCAAAGGCCCCCCACAGAGUCCAUUGUUAUUUGCAUAGUCGUCGGCCGAAACUGCAGUGUUUGCAAAGUUUGGCACUGGCCCUGAUAAUAGAUUAUCGGAGACACUAAAGACCUUGAUCCUGCUGAGCCCACCAAUUUCUUGUGGAAUAUGACCUGUAAGUCGGUUGUGGUCUAGUUUAAGAAUGUUCAAAUGAGAGCAAUUGGCAAUGCUGGAUGGGAUUUCACCGGAAAAACUGUUGGAGGAAAGAUCGAGGCUUGUAACAAAUGGAAGUCUUUUCGGGAUGUCAAAUGGAAUUGGUCCCUCAACCUCGUUACCGGAAAGAUCCAAGCCUGUUAAACUUGUACAAUUCUCAAUCCCUAGAGGAAAUCGGCCCCUGAGCCCCAUAUCAGGUAAUCUGAGAUUUAAAACCUUGUUCUCAUUAGGAUGCCAGCAAUCCACACCAGUAAAUGAACAGAUGAAGCCUUCUGUAUUGUUGUUGAAGUCCCACGAAGAUUUCAAGUAACCAAAAGGGUCUUCCAAGGAAGCUUUAAUCGAUUUUAAGCAAGCAAUAUCAGUUUCGGUAGCCACAGUCGCAGUAAAAGAACCCAGCAACGACCAGAUAAAAGUGUGGAGAAAAACAGCAUAAACUUUCGUAAUUUCAAGUUCCAUUGAGAUUUCAGUUCGUCAGCUUCCUGAUACAAAAGGAAUAAAAGAUAAAAACUUGGUCAUAGAAGUUGAUACAAAAGGGUUGAAAAUGGCAAAAACAAGAAAAGGGAGCUAAAUCAUUUCAGAGAAAACUCGAAUUUGAUGACCUCUUAACAUACAUAAAAGCUGCGAGGUACUCGAAAGAAAAGCUCAC
rnacentral:misc_RNA from 1 species